rnacentral:rRNA from 1 species
AGUCGAACGGCAGCACGGACUUCGGUCUGGUGGCGAGUGGCGAACGGGUGAGUAAUGCAUCGGAACGUGCCUAGUAGCGGGGAUAACUACGCGAAAGUAGCUAAUACCGCAACACACUCGGGGAAAGCGGGGACCUUCGGGCCUCACCAGAGCCGGCCGAUAUCGGAUUAGCUAGUUGGUGGGGUAACGGGCUCACCAAGGCGACGAUCCGUAGCUGGUUUGAGAGGACGACCAGCCACACUGGGACUGAGACACGGCCUGGGAUCUUACGGGAGGCAGCAGUGGGGAAUUUUGGAUAAUGGGGGAAACCCUGAUCCAGCCAUCCCGGCGUGUGCGAUGAAGGCCUUCGGGUUGUAAAGCACUUUUGGCAGGAAAGAAACGGCACGGGAUAAUAAUUCCCGUGUGCAACUGACGGUACCUGCAGAAUAAGCACCGGAUAACUACGUGCCAGCAGCCGCGGUAAUACGUAGGGUGCAAGCGUUAAUCGGAAUUACUGGGCGUAAAGCGUGGUGCAGGCGGUUCGGAAAGAAAGAUGUGGAAUCCCAGAGCUUAACUUUGGAACUGCAUUUUUAACUACCGAGCUAGAGUGUGUCAGAGGAGGUGGAAUUCCGCGUGUAGCAGUGAAAUGCGUAGAUAUGCGAGGAACACCGAUGGCGAAGGCAGCCUCCGGGAUAACACUGACGCUCGCGUGCACGAAAGCGUGGGAGCAACAGGAUUAGAUACCCUGGUAGUCCACGCUCCAAACGAUGUCAAUCCAGCUGUUGGGGCCUUCGGCCUUGGUAGCGCUAAUCGCGGUGAAGUUGACCGCCUGGGGGCAUGGUCGCAAGAUUAAACUCAAAGGAAUUGACGGGACCCGCACAAGCGGUGGAUGAUGUGGAUUAAUUCGAUGCAACGCGAAAACCUUACCUACCCUUGACAUGUCUGGAAUCCCAAAGAGAUUUGGGAGUGCUCGCAAGAGAACCGGAACACAGGUGCUGCAUGGCUGUCGUCAGCUCGUGUCGUGAGAUGUUGGGUUAAGUCCCGCAACGAGCGCAACCCUUGUCAUUAGUUGCUGCUGAAAGGGCACUCUAAUGAGACUGCCGGGUGACAAACCGGAGGAAGGUGGGGAUGACGUCGUUCCUUUCAUGGCCCUUAUGGGUAGGGACACACGUCAUACAAUGGUCGGGACAGAGGGUCGCCAACCCGCGAGGGGGAGCCAAUCCCAGAAACCCGAUCGUAGUCCGGAUCGCAGUCUGCAACUCGACUGCGUGAAGUCGGAAUCCUGCCAGUAACGCGGGAUCGAAAUGUCGCGGUGAAUACGUUCCCGGGUCUGCGUCAUUCCUCGCCCGUCACAACGCGGGGAGUGGGUUUUACCAGAAGUAGUUAGCCUAACCGUAAGGAGGGCGAUUACCACGGUAGAUUCAUGACUGGUAGUCACAUGCUGCAG